rnacentral:lncRNA from 1 species
UUUUAAAUAACUUAGUUAUACUCACAUUAUUAUUAUUUACCAUGUAAUAACUACUUUCCUUUUAUUUCACAAUUUUCAUUUAUUUAUUAGAUUCAGUAUUUCCAAUUUCAGAUUCUUCCAAAAAGCACAAAACAAGCAAAUUAUCCCUGAAUAUAUGAAGCUGCCAUGUGUCCAACCUUUACAAACUAAAACCAAAGAGCCAAAUUUUGAAAAAAAAAUCCCAUGAUCCUUUAAACAAAGCAUUAUGGGUAUUUCUAUUUACGCCAUACCAACAGUUUUACGCCCGUAAGAAAAUUUACGUCUUGCCUAUUUCAAUUUACGCCCGUAAGAAAACUUACGCCUUGCUUAUUUCAAUUUACGCCAGGUUAACUGCUUUUUUCUACGCCCGUAAGGACUACAAAUUUACGUUUCCUGCUCCCUUACGCUUGGAUCUAGACACGUAACUACCACUUACGCCUGG